rnacentral:rRNA from 1 species
AGUGAACGCUGGCGGUAGGCCUAACACAUGCAAGUCGAACGGCAGCACAGUAAGAGCUUGCUCUUACGGGUGGCGAGUGGCGGACGGGUGAGGAAUACAUCGGAAUCUACUUUUUCGUGGGGGAUAACGUAGGGAAACUUACGCUAAUACCGCAUACGACCUACGGGUGAAAGCAGGGGAUCUUCGGACCUUGCGCGAUUGAAUGAGCCGAUGUCGGAUUAGCUAGUUGGCGGGGUAAAGGCCCACCAAGGCGACGAUCCGUAGCUGGUCUGAGAGGAUGAUCAGCCAAACUGGAACUGAGACACGGUCCAGACUCCUACGGGAGGCAGAAGUGGGGAAUAUUGGACAAAGGGCGCAAGCCUGAUCCAGCCAUACCGCGUGGGUGAAGAAGGCCUUCGGGUUGUAAAGCCCUUUUGUUGGGAAAGAAAAGCAGCAGGUUAAUACCCCGCUGUUCUGACGGUACCCAAAGAAUAAGCACCGGCUAACUUCGUG